AUACGUAGGUGACAAGCGUUAUCCGGAUUUAUUGGGUUUAAAGGGUGCGCAGGCGGCCAUUUAAGUCAGCGGUUAAAUCGUGGGGCUCAACCCCAUUCUGCCGUUGAUACUGGGUGGCUUGAUUGCGGUCGAGGUUGGCGGAAUUCGUUGUGUAGCGGUGAAAUGCAUAGAUAUGACGAAGAACACCGAUUGCGUAGGCAGCUGACCAGAUCGCAAAUGACGCUCAUGCACGAAAGUGCGGGGAUCGAACAGGAUUAGAUACCCUGGUAGUCCGCACAGUAAACGAUGAAUACUUGUUUUCGGCGAUAUAAUGUCGGAGGCAAAGCGAAAGCGAUAAGUAUUCCACCUGGGGAGUACGCCGGCAACGGUGAAACUUAAAGGAAUUGACGGGG
rnacentral:rRNA from 1 species